GCUAUCAUACCAGCAUUAAUGCACCGGAUCCCAUCAGAACUCCGAAGUUAAGCGUGCUUGGGCGAGAGCAGUACUAGGAUGGGUUAUCCCCUGGGAAGUCCUCGUGUUGCACCU
rnacentral:rRNA from 1 species